rnacentral:snRNA from 1 species
UCACUCUGGUUUCUCUUCAGCACGCAUAAGUCUUUCGCUCUGUUUGGGGUUGUUUUGAGUCUUUUGUUCUAGUCUGGUUUUCUAAUAAAAUGUUAAAAAAAAAAAAAAAUCCUUUUACUAACGAUUUCCGUGGAGAGGAGCAGUGAUGAGUUUACACCCAAUUUUUCGAGGCCCCAUUUUGGUGGAGCU